UACGGGGGGAGCAAGCGUUGUUCGGAUUUACUGGGCGUAAAGGGCGGGUAGGCGGCCACCGCAAGUCAGUUGUGAAAUCUCUGGGCUUAACCCAGAAAGGUCAACUGAUACUGCUCGGCUAGAGUGCGGAAGGGGCAACUGGAAUUCUUGGUGUAGCGGUGAAAUGCGUAGAUAUCAAGAGGAACACCUGCGGCGAAGGCGGGUUGCUGGGCCGACACUGACGCUGAUGCGCGAAAGCUAGGGGAGCGAACGGG
rnacentral:rRNA from 1 species